rnacentral:rRNA from 1 species
GGAUUAGAUACCCGGGUAGUCCACGCUGUAAACGAUGGAUGCUAGCUGUAUUCGGUAUCGACCCCGGAUGUAGCGAAGCUAACGCGUUAAGCAUCCCGCCUGUGGAGUACGGUCGCAAGACUAAAACAUAAAGGAAUUGACGGGGACCCGCACAAGCGGUGGAGCGUGUUGUUUAAUUCGAUGGUAAGCGAAGAACCUUACCCAGGUUUGACAUCCUUGGAAUUUCUGCGAAAGCAGAAAGUGCUUUUAGAGCCAAGUGACAGGUGUUGCAUGGCCGUCGUCAGCUCGUGUCGUGAGAUGUUUGGUUAAGUCCACUAACGAGCGCAACCCUUGUGAUUAGUUGAAUUUUUCUAAUCAGACUGCCCUGGCAACAGGGGGGAAGGAGGGGAUGAUG